rnacentral:rRNA from 1 species
AUUCAGUCCAGUUGCUGGCGGACGUGGAUCUUGUCGGACCAGAAUGAUGGGAACCCGAGACCAAGGGGUCCCGUUCGACCGCACGUUGUCGUCGCUCUGGACGCAUUUCUUCCCGCCUAAAGGACGCCGCAGCCGGUCGGGUCGUUGCAAACGAGACGGCCAGAAAGGCGGGCGAUGGCAGGUCGCCGGGGUUUCCGCUUCGCGCGGUCUUCCCGGUGGGUAGCCGGCCCGUCGGUGGUAUCGUCACCCGACCGUGGCGUCACCAGGCCCGCUUCUGGGCUCUGUGCGCUUCCUCCGAUGAUUGGGAGAGACAUUCAGGGCAGGCGUCGCUCCGGAGAGCUCCGUCGCACGUCCGAGCGGCGUGGGCGGGGAGCCGGUUGCCGCUGCUAGCCUUGUCGAGUCUCGCCGGAUUGUUCUGGAGGCUUGCGGCGAGUAGGUCGGUCAUCCACCCGACCCGUCUUGAAACACGGACCAAGGAGUCUAACAUGUGCGCGAGUCAAUGGGACUUGAAUAUGCCCAGAGGCGCAAUGAAAGCAAAGGCCGCGCCGAAGCGCGUGGCCGAGUUGGGAUCCCGGAGCCAAGAGUUCCGGGCGCACCAACGGCCCGUCCUAUCCGACUCGUCGGUUGGGCGGAGCGUGAGCGCACACGUUGGGACCCGAAAGAUGGUGAACUAUGCUCGGGCAGGACGAGGCCAGAGGAAACUCUGGUGGAGGUCCGCAGCGGUUCUGACGUGCAAAU